AUUGCACAAUGGGCGCAAGCCUGAUGCAGCCAUGCCGCGUGUAUGAAGAAGGACCUUCGGGUUGUAAAGUACUUUCAGCAGUGAGGAAGGUGGAUAUGUUAAUAGCAUAUUCAUUUGACGUUAGCUGCAGAAGAAAGCACCGGCUAACUCCGUGCCAGCAGCCGCGGUAAUACGGAGGGUGCGAGCGUUAAUCGGAAUUACUGGGCGUAAAGCGCAUGCAGGUGGUUUGUUAAGUCAGAUGUGAAAGACCCGGGGCUCAACCUCGGAAUUGCAUUUGAAACUGGCAAACUAGAGUACUGUAGAGGGGGGUAGGAAUUUCAGGUGUAGCGGUGAAAUGCGUAGAGAUCUGAAGGAAUACCGGUGGCGAAGGCGGCCCCCUGGACAGAUACUGACACUCAGAUGCGAAAGCGUGGGGAGCAAACAGGAUUAGAUACCCUGGUAG
rnacentral:rRNA from 1 species